GAGACCUUCUCUAAACUUUGAUCAACUUAUUUUCGGACUUUUUGAAGAACUUGUUGUGUAGUUUGGAAUUGGACCUGUUCAGCUGCACGAUGGUGGAUUUUGAGUUGUUGAUGAAGAUUUCCUCCUCCUCCUCCUCCUCCUCCUCCUCCUCCUCUCAGCGCUCCUGCAGUUUGUUUUUUUCUGUCGUUUCUUUUUUCUUCUGAUAGUUUCAGGUGAAAGUGGAGCUGCUGAGUCGAGUAUAACGUUAAAACCCCAGCAGGAGAGCAGGACCCUGCAGCCGCAGGUGUCGUGUACGUGACGCGCAGAAAUUCGCCUUUUCGCUGUUACGUAGCGACACUUUUGGACUGAAGGGGCUUCCAUCGAGCGUGACGUCACCCAACGCGAACGGAGUCUUCAGAACUCAGCAGAGGGAAACGUUUCGUUCAGGAGCAGUGAAGCUGUGAAGCAGUGAAGCAGUGAAGCUGUGAAGCAGUGAAGCUGUGAAGCUGUGAAGCUGUGAAGCAGUGAAGCAGUGAAGCAGUGAAGCAGUGAAGCUGUGAAGCUG